rnacentral:SRP_RNA from 1 species
AGGAAUGGACCUUGCGGCAUAUUGUUAUCGAACCAUGUCAGAUCUGGAAGGAAGCAGCAUUAAGGUAUUCAAUAUGGGUGCAAGUAGCUCAUCUGAGUU